UCGUUCCCCUUCCCUCCCCUUCCCUCCCGCGCGCCUCCUCUCCUCCCGCCCAUAUCGUCGCCGUCGCUGCCGCCGCCCCCCGCCACCUCGAACCACGCCGUCGGCAUCCAUCCACUGCUCCGGUAGCGGCCAGAUGCGCCGCAACAGAGCCCCCCAGCCCUCCCUCUCUCUCACGCGUCUGCUCCACGUACGCCACCUGUUUCCGGCGAGCCCCGACAUCUCCGCCACCGCGCAGCACAACGCCGAGCUUGCCUCUCUCCGCUGCGUCCUCUCCUCCUGCCGGAUUCGCCGCUCACGGCCGCCGCUCACCCGUGACCCUGCCCCGUGGUUAGGGUUUCGGGUGUUCGUCACCGGUGGCCAUGGGGCUGCCCCUCCUCUCUGCCUCUGCAGAGGGGAGGAGCGGGGACGAGCCUCCUCCCAUUUACUCUCUGUGUGUGUGUUCAUCCGCUCGAGAACUGGAUCCCGAGGGUCAGAGGUGCAACCCUGCAGAGCUGCUGGAUCCCAAAAUUAAAGAUGUGAUUGGCCUGGCAGCAGCUCGGGCCUGCUGAAGAACGAAGACGCAACAACAGGGGGAGGGAGAGGGAGACGGGGAAGACCAUGUGCCGGUGUCGACGACGGUUCGCCAGCGAGCUGGUUGUUCAUCGCCUCUGACUUGGAGGAUGGCAGAGGCGGGGUCGUUCGUCACACGUCACCACCAAGCUGCUAUUAUGCCCAGAUCUCUGCUGCCAUCGGCGCUCCAUCUCUGGAGUCAUCCUGGUAUUUUACUUUGCAUGCUUCUUUUCUAUGGCUCUGUUCUCUUUGUGAUGUUCUCUGCUUGGAUUAAUGCUAAUUAUUAUGUGCAUUUUUGCAUAUCUAGCUCCUGAUGGGGGGCACAUUUUAUUCCCCUUUCAGUAUUGUGAAUGCUUGUGGUUGUAGAUUGACAUUAUUGAAGCAAGGACCCUGUGUAAAUAAAUGUUACGGGUGACCACAUGUGGGCAGGCUUGUUGGUUAGGAAAUAUGUAGCCUUAGUACCCCAGACCAAUAUAUUCAGUUAAUCGAUUUUUAAUCUGGAUACACCGAGCAAAGUUAUAUAUGCUAGCUCAGUUGUGUAUAAAUUUGUUUUUAUAAUAGUCAGAUCCAACCUUUGUAUUUGCUUUGCUUGUUGUACUUCGGUUAGAAGCAAAUAAUGUGAUGUUGUCCUGUUGUGAUAUCCACACUAUCAAUAUCAAAGUGUACAGGUCUAUUCCUUUUUUUUUUUAUCAUUUUCACUUAAUCUUCCUUGUCCUGUUCAAUUUUUAAACUGAGUAUUGUAUGAGGUUCGACACUCUUCCGGCUUGCUAUAUUUGUUAAACACAUACUGCAAUGGUGGGUGAUUCUGUAUUGUUGUUUAGUGCAGCAGCAACACUGAUGGCAGUUCUACCUGACAAUGUGUAGUAGUGUACUCAUUAGUUAGCCCACUUGUGCCGGAUAGUUUCUUGUUUUAUUGCUUGUGCACUGUCCUUGACAAAUGAAAUGUGCAGCAGGCUUUUGAUAUUUUAGUCCUCUGGCCUUGUAUGCAGUACUUUGCUAGACUAUUGCAGACAAAUUGAAACAACUGCAAAUGUGUAGCUCCAGAGUUAGGAGACUAGAAAUAAUUGAGCUUUUUUGCCAAAAAACUAGGAUUUUACAUCACUAAUUAGCCCUUCAUUCUUAUAUGCUUUUGCAUUUGCUGCAUUCCCGCUUUCAGGUCUUUUCAUUGUUUUCACACGUUAGCUCUAGGAUGCCAAGUGUAAUUCAAUUCAUAUGUACAUGUACUGUUUUCAGGUCGUUUCUUUGUCCUAUCUGUGCAUGUUUUGUUUGGUUACCCUCUGUAUACCAGUCAUUUUAGAACGAUGCAGGUUUUGUUCUUACAGAAAUAGACAUCGCGAGUGGAUUUCCUUUUACCUGAACACUUGCCGAAUUCAGUGCUCGGAGAAGUCUGCUAUGCCAACUUGUGGAUUCAGAACUUCAGAUCCUUAUUAUCAGAUCGUGUCACUCUUUCCAGUCCAAAACUGAUGAGCUCUAGAAAACGGCUCCUGAUUGUGUGUGUAUAUUUCGUGGCUUCAGAAUUAUUUUAUUUUUCGCCUUAUGGCAUCAAGAUGCAGCUGCUCAUAUGAUUUCAUAGUUUGGCAAGUACCACAAAAUUUGUGGUUGACUGCUUACAUACAAAAUCAUCGUGAAUUGGCGAUGAUCAAUUUACAGUCAGUUAUCAAUUUGUGCGGUUCAUUAAAUAAUCAAGAUAACACAUGGAGGUCCAUUCUUCUUUGGGCCGGCAGCCUUCUCGCCAACGAAGGCAUUUCUACCCGGUCCUUUUCUUUUAGCCUGCUGCAGGGACCAAACACUAUACCUUCUUCUUCGGUCUUCAAUCUGUUUUCUUCUUCAAUGAAUCUGACCACGACAUCUUGCACGUACUGCACCGCUCCCAGAGGUGAACGGAGUCAUAAAAAUCAACUUAGCAUCAGACUACUGGGUGAACAGAGUUGUAGAAACCAGAACAGAGUCACACACUCUCAAUGGUGGCAAGUUAUUAUAUUAAAUCUUGCUAGACAGUUGCUCACAUGGGUACUAUGUAUGCAUGAUUUUUUAACUUGAAGAUUAGAGGAUUAUAAGAACUGAGAACAUUGCAUGGAAAUCAGCUUAGCACCAUAAUAAUGAGUUUCCAUGGCGCGGCGGCUUGAAUUGACGCUCUCGGCCAUGGUGCGCCUGGAUCAGUCAGGUCGAUCGAGGGACAAGACUGGCAACCGCUCGUCCGUGCUGAUCUUCGACCGAGAUAGAGCACUGGAAGCAACCACAUCAUGAGAGGGUCAACGGACGACAAUCCGAUAUGUGUCACCGACAGUGAAGGAAGCUGCCAUUCUACAGAAAGGAGGCAAGGUGAUGGGCCCUGAGUGUAUCCCCAUUGAGGUGUGGAAAGGGCUCGGGGACAUAGCGAUAGUAUGGCUAAUCAAGCUUUUCAACCUCAUUUUUCGGGCAAACAAGAUGCCAGAAAAAUGGAGAUGGAGUGUAUUAGUAC